GGCGCACUAGGGCGCGCAUGUGGCUCGACGUCCCGCUCCCGCCGAGCCGGCAUUGGUGGGGGACCUGGGCGCUGCAGGAAACGCUGCCACCUGCUCCGUUAGCUGCCGGGGAGGGGGGCAGAAGACAGUCAAAAUACGCUGGUUCUUUUCUUUUCACCCUAGGUAAUGGAUAGCACCUUUUCUAACACCGGGGACUUUCCUAUGUGAAGAUAAGAUUAUUCUGUAUCCUUCAGAAUGUGAGGCUUUGCUCUCCCAUAUCUUUCUACAAUGUCGUACCUAUCUUGGGACCAGCCAACCAUGGACUGAACCUUCUCAAAUCAUGAACCAAAUUAAACCUGUCCUCCUUUAAAUUGCAGUUGUCAGGUAUCUGGGACCAGCAACAG